CUACAGGAGCGACCUGAGAUCACAUGUGGACACCCUAAGAUCUUCCCUUAUCUUCCAAGGAUUGUGUUCUUAUGUGUUCUCAGGUCGCCCCUGCCGGG
rnacentral:pre_miRNA from 1 species